UACGGAGGGGUCUAAAGAUGUAAAAACCCACUGCCCGUAAAGCGCACGUAGGCGGAUUUGUAAGUCAGGGGUGAAAUCCCGGGGCUCAACCUCGGAACUGCCUUUGAUACUGCAAAUCUCGAGUCCGGAAGAGGUGAGUGGAAUUCCUAGUGUAGAGGUGAAAUUCGUAGAUAUUAGGAAGAACACCAGUGGCGAAGGCGGCUCACUGGUCCGGUACUGACGCUGAGGUGCGAAAGCGUGGGGAGCAAACAGG
rnacentral:rRNA from 1 species